UCUCUUCUGGCCGGCGGCGCGGCCCUGGGUCUGCUGGGCGCGGCCGGCUGCAGCCGGGUGUCCGGCUCCGGCGCCGAGGACGGGGGC
rnacentral:tRNA from 1 species